UUACAAUGGCUAAUCACAUACGUUUUGAAAUCUUAUUCUUAAUGUUUGACGCAAGUUGCAUUAAAAAGUAUAAAUAGGUUUCAGAAUUGUGUUGUUUUAGAACGUUGCUUUCACAAUCAUUUAAGAACACUCAUAUGCAUGGACAACUGAUUUCAUCUUAUGAGGUGUGUUACCUUUAACCAUAUGGAUGAUGAUGUAUUUGUGCAAAUUUUCCAUGUUGCUUCCCAGAAUGCAAAUGUAAAUUCUCAAAAUACAAUGCUCUCAAAGCUCAUGUUUAUCGCCAUCACAAAAGACCACAUACUCAUUUUGAUGAUACGAUGGGCACGUUUGUUUGCAACAAUACAGACUGUCAACAACAAUUUACAGACAUGAACAAUGUCCUUUCUCAUCUCAGGUCACAUUUAGCCAAGGGAGAGGUGGUGUGUUGUCCUUUUGAAAAAUGUGACAAAAAUUUCAGUUUAAGAUCAAGUUUCACUGCCCAUGUUUCACGAAAGCACAGGACUUCUACAUUUGCACAAUUACGGAUUAUGGAUACUUUAUCUGAGCAACCUUCUUCAGCAUUUUUUGAUGUUACUGAGGAUGAGGUUGAUGAAAGUGAAUUCACAGACUCCCUGACGAAAUGUAACGCAAAGUCAUUGUACAUGAAAAAUCUCUGCCUGUUUUAUAUGCAGCUACAAGCAAAAUACCUGGUGCCAUCGUCAACCAUUCAGAUGAUUGUGGAGGAAUUCAGUGGUUUAAAUUAUAUCUGUUAUCAGUACACACAGAAGAUGUUCAGGGAAAUACUCAAGUCAAAAACGGCCCUCUCACAAUGUGAGAUUGAAUCUGUGGUGCAGACUUUGCAAGGCCAAGAUUUACACUCAGCUUGUAAUUCAUUACUUUCCACAGAAUACCAAAGAAGACAGUAUUAUCAGAAAAAAUUUUCGUACGUGCAUCCACAAAGUAUGUGUCUUGGUCGUGAUGAGAACCGAAACCAACGUUAUGCACAGUAUAUUCCAUUGAAGAACACUUUAAAAACCAUGUUAAUAGACCCAGUGGUGUGGGAGCAGUGUGCCAGACAUCAGCAUGUACACUCUUCUGUGUUCUCUGACAUCUGUGAUGGCUCUGUAUUCAAAUCCAAUGACUUGUUUAAGCAGCCUGAGAUUACAAUCCAAUUUAUCUUGUACCAGGAUGCCUUUGAGAUUGUGAAUCCCCUUGGGUCAGAUAAAAAAAGACACAAAAUGAUUGGAGUGUAUUUUACACUUGGCAACUUUGAGCCAUUUUACAGAUCAUGCAUUGAUAACAUUCAGUUAUCACUUUUGUGUUAUGAGAGAGACUUUAACUAUUUUGGUCAAACCAAGAUUUUUGCUAAGUUGUUGGCAGAUGUCAAAGAACUUGAAGAGCAUGGAUUUGUGACAUCUUCAGGUGACAUAGUACGUGCAACAAUAGUGGCUAUUAUCUGUGAUAAUUUGGGGUCCCACUGCAUCGGUGGGUACUCACAGAACUUCAGUACUGCCAAGCAUUGCUGUAGGUAUUGCUUGGUAUCUCGCAGUGAACUUCAGAAUGUGUAUGUAGACUUUCCCAAUCGCACAGUUGAGUCCUAUAAGGAGGCAGUGGAAACUCUAAGGACGACCGAAGAAAAUGUUGUUAAUGGGUUGAAGUUUGACUCCAUUUUCAACUCUCUCAAGUAUUUUCAUGUUGCUCAGCCUGGCCUUCCCCCAUGCCUUGGCCACAAUUUGUUUGAAGGCGUUGUAGUUAUUGAUCUUGGCAUUUUCUUGGAAUACUUUGUAAAAAGGAAGUGGUUUUCAUAUACACAGCUGAACAGGAGACUUGCACAAUUCAAAUAUGUGGAUUCUGAUGCUGGUUCUGCCCCCUCCCAGAUAUGUGAAAAAGGCAGAAAGUUAGGUGGUCAAGCAGCUGAGAACUGGUGUCUCCUCAGAUUUCUUCCUGUCAUAAUUGGAGACCGAGUAGAGUCACAAGACCCUGUAUUGCAACUGACUGUUAAGUUAAAAGAACUGGUUGAGCUAGUAUGUGCUCCCAAGAUUACCACAGCACAGAUUGCAUAUCUCAAUGUCUUAAUACCAGAAUAUCUGGAAACAAGAAAGGAGCUGUUUCCUGGUGAAAAUUUGAAACCAAAACAUCAUUACAUGCUUCACUAUACGUCACUCAUUUUAAGUCUUGGACCUUUAAUUUGUUUGUGGUCAUUGAGAUUUGAAAGCAAACAUUCCUACUUCAAAAGAAGUGUGAGAAGAACACAGAACUUCAAAAAUGUAUGCAAGACAUUGUCACACAACCAUCAACUUCUUCAAGCAUAUCUUCACUCACGGUCCUUUUUUUCACCAAAGCUUAAAAGUGUUGACUUGGCCACAUACUCUCCUCAUUUGUACAGUUAUGCUGUGUGCAAAGCUGUUGAGACAAGCUUGCUUAAUGAACCAGACUUUGUUUCCACACGUGUAGAAUACAAGGGUACCCUGUACAGGAAAGGAAACUUAAUUUGCCUUAAAUGUGAAGAGGAGUAUUCUAUUUUACAGUUUGGACAGAUUGAGCUGAUUUUCGUGAAAGAUGAUGAGGUGACUUUCCUUGUGACUCCCCGCCCCUCAGUGUAUUUGCAUGAUUAUGGACUUUAUGAGAUUUAGUCUGUGACAAAGGAAUUAAUUUGUGUAAAAGCUGAGGAAUGUCUGGAUUAUUAUCCCUUAAAUGAGUACAGUUUUAUGGGACUGAAGGUCAUUACUCUGAAGCACAGCGUUGUUCAUCUGUAAAAAGGAUUAACUGUCCUCUCCCAACAGAAAUGGAUGCAUUGUUGAUUUUUAUUGAGAAUGUGUUCCCAAACCCUAUAACUUCAAAGCUAGCCAUAGAGGGUUUGAACAGCCUAGGUGUGGAGACCAUAGAUGACCUACAGGUUUGAAAGAUGAUGAUCUAGGUGGCUUUCUGUGACCGAUUGAAGCAAGAAAACUAAUAGCCCAAAUCCCAAGUGACAGUAGCUGUGAAACUUCGUUUUAUGACCAUGACUGGCAUUAUAGUUUUGAUGUUCCAUGGCAAAAAAUGCCAGCAAGUUUUAUGGGAAAGUUGCAAAAUGGCGAAAGGCCAAGUUGCUCUGAGAGAAGACAGUUGGUCCGCAUUGUUGCUUCUGAGAUCCUGGAAGUCAGCAAAUGUCCAGCAAAAAAACAUGUACUGUAUCAGAAAUAGCCCGACAAAUGGUGAUUGCAUACCCAAAGUCUUUCAGAGAUGAGAUUAAUUCCCAGGUUGUAGGAAGUGGAUAUGAUUCUCUCCUCAAACAACUGGUGUGUAGAAUUGACAAUUUGAAAAGAGCAAAAGCUAUUAGUAUACCACUUUGUGGUACUCUAUCAACAAAGAAACGAAAAUUGUUAUAUGGUUGUAUAAAUUCUGAUCCACAACUGCUAGUUGGAGAAACAUCCGAAUUGCAGCAGGAAAAGAAAGAGAAGUUGGUAGUAAUGUUUCAUAAUAAUGAAAGUGAUGUAAAGACAAUCUAUGACUUAAUGACUUCUACAUACACCCCUCAAAGAAACAACAUCCAAUCUGGAAAGGAAACCAAAGAUUUACUUGAUGAGUGGCCGUAUCUUUUUCAGCCAGCAGGAAUGAAAGCACACUUUAAAGAGCUCACUGGCAUUGACAUAAACAACAGCUUUGAAGAAUCUGCUUCCAGUAAGUUCAGAAGAAUAUUGGACUACUUUCAAUUUCAGUGCACAGAAAGAGCAAGCAGAGCAGGGAGAAUCCUCACAAAGUAUAGAGCUGGAGGGGAUCAUGUUUGUGGGGCCGUGAUGUUGCUGCUAACCCAUUUCAAAAAUGACCAAGACCACUUUCUUGUGAUGGUAGAAGACACCUCUGUUCCAAGUGAUAUAUGCUCAGAACAGCUUCCAGCAACACCAUGUAUAGUAGUGUGUGGAGAGAACCCACUGACAGCCAGUGUGUACAUGGUAGCAGUAGACCAGAUGAUUGUAAAUGACCAUCUCUUGAGUUUUACAGAAGCCCUGUAUCUGAUGUUCUCUCUUUACUAUAUAUUGAACAUCAGUUACCCUGUAGAACUGGGAGCCACACUAGAAUUCUUGCAAAGUGCAUCUUUAGGAUAAAUCCUCAUAAAGGUACCAAGGUGGAAAAGAGAGAGAAAAAGAGAGUGUACUCUGUCAACCCCAGAGUAUUGAGUCUGACAUCAAAAAUUGCUGCAUUUGAUUGGGGAGAGUAACAGGUAUAGAAGCUCUGUUGUCUUGUAUAGUAGUGGUAGACUUCAUCUUCUGUGUUUAUCAUUCAUCGAUGAUAAAGUGGACCAAAGGACAAUCAUUUUUAGAAUUAACUCCAAUAAAUGUGAUGUAAUUGUCUGUGGCCAAAACUGAGAGUAUUUGGUUAAGGCUUGUUGCUGUCUCUGCUCUUCUUUUGGUUUGGGUUUUAAUUGUAACUGUUUGUGUCCCCACAGAUG